GUACUUGCUUCGGCAGUACAUAUACUAAAAUUGGAACGAUACCCAGGGAAGAUUAGCAUGGCCCCUGCGCAAGGACGACACGCAAAAUCGUUCUCUCUUAACCUGUUCA